rnacentral:lncRNA from 1 species
AAUCUCGCCCAUUUGAAGGGAAAUUAUACCAACUUCACGGAGGGCUGACAGAAUGGAAAUGAAGCCUAGGAAAUUGUGGCUAUAAUUCUAGUGAGAUUACUUUCUUUUAACUGCUAUUUAUUUAGCCUCUACUAUAUGCUAAACACGCGAAACGUAGAUGAUGUUGGAUUUUAAUCCAAGUGUGAAUAUUUAAAAUGAAACACCAUAAAAUACACCAAAGCAUGGAUGUUAAUUUACUGUCGGCAUUUCCAUGGAGGAAAGGCUUUGUGAAAGAAGGAAACCCACAGGAAAACAGCAAGACCAUAACUUUUCAAUGGCCCUGAGACCCAGCUGCCUGCUUUCAUAUCACAUGCCGGCCCCAUGAAGAUGUCCUGGAAGCUCACUGGAGCUUUUCAACUAGCAAGG